UAGCAGAUUUUUUGAUAGUCGUAAUUAAAUAUUUUGGAUAGAUUUAAUUUUUGAAUGAAACACUUCCUUCUCGUUCAUUGCAUUAUCUGUUGCACUUCAAAUGCACAUAUUUAUGUUUAUCUGUUGUAGGGUUGCCAUACAACAAGUAUUAUUCGAAAUUGUAGGUAUUUUGGCUGUCAUUCCAGGAAAACUUUGUAUAGUUUUGAUAUACUUUAAGUAUUGAUUUUUGGAAAAUAUAAUAUUUUAGAGACAUGAUAACAAAUGUUAUCAUAGGUUUUUUAAGGCUGUUCUGGAAUGAUAUUUGUUAGGUUUUGUUUACUUCAAGGUCUGAUACAGAAACUGGAGUAAUUUUCAUUUAAUGAAUUAGAGUAUUUUAUUGUUUAUUCGUUUGCCACCCGGCUUUUGUUUUGGGUCCUUUAAAUUCGAGAUCAUUCAGUGCGCCGUUCUUUCUGUGACGAGAUCCUCUUGUAUAGUGAUCGGACGGCCGUAUAAGGGCCUGGAGCCCGGCAUGCCACGUGCUGCCGUGGCGUUCCAUAUUUUGUGUGGUGCGUUCUGUCAGUCUGACUGGCAGAAACAUGCUAAGGGUGGGAGUGCUCCUUGGAGAUCCUCGGUCUGCAGUCUGCAGGUCUCCGGAGUCGGGAAGAAGUAAAGAAUUAGAGAAUUGCAGAAGUAGAUAAUUAAACAAGAACCUUUACAAUUUCAAUGUGCAAGGAAACUUCUUUGGCUUACUGGCGCAAGGUGUCUUUGGACCUUGUUUUCGUAUGGAAGGGUCAGCCCUGUCCACGUGGCGAGGGGGCGUCAGCACCGGAGUCCGGGGAGCAGCCGGCUCAUCCCUGACAAGGUGUGUCUCCUGCCCGUUUCCUGCCGGUAAUGCUGUGUAAUUCAGGUUUUAAUUUCUGUGUAAAGUAAUUUCUGAUUUCAUUUAUUUUGAGAAUUCUGGUGCAUAACUUUAGGUAAAUUCAUAUUUAGUUUUUUGUAGAAUAAAUGGUUGUAAGAAACCUUUUCCUGGACCCUCUUAAAGCGGCCCAGCUUUACCACUGAGCGUAGUUCUUAUUUCAUAUAUGGUGUCAAAUUUAGUAUUUUGGAAACAUUAACUUAAACCUAUCUGUAAGGCAAGAUUUUGGUAUAAUAAAUAUAUAAAAUGUGA
rnacentral:lncRNA from 1 species